rnacentral:rRNA from 1 species
GCUAAUACCGGAUAACAACAGAUGAUGCCUAUCAACUGUUUAAAAGAAUGGUUCUGCUAUCACUCUUGGAUGGACCUGCGGUGCAUUAGCUAGUUGGUAGGGUAACGGCCUACCAAGGCGAUGAUGCAUAGCCGAGUUGAGAGACUGAUCGGCCACAUUGGGACUGAGACACGGCCCAAACUCCUACGGAGGCAGCAGCC